AACCUCUGGCAAUAGGCAAAGAGACACUGAAUUGAUGUUACUCUAAUAUCAGUCAGAGGUAAAGCAUAUGGUCCCUUGUUCUUCCUAGCUUGAUGCCUGGGCUGGUGGCCAAAGCUCUUUUAUGCAUGAGGCACAUAA